GUAGUUCCGCUUCCCCCUGGGUGGGGCAGUAAGCGCCAAUAAAUAGGUCCUCUGCUGCACGACAGCUAUCCUCCUGCCACUCGAGUUCUGAUUGACUUUGGAGAACCUGAUAUUAAGACUCCAGAAAGAUGUCUUCUCAACAUCAGCAGUGCAAGCAGCCCUGCCAGCCACCACCAGUGUGCACACCAAAAUGCCAUGACCCUUGCCCACCUUGCAAGUGUCCAGACCCUUGCCCACCUUGCAAGUGUCCAGACCCUUGCCCACCUAUAAAGUG